UGGAUGCUCAGAACUUAAAGCUAUGUAGCAUUCAUUAUUCCUAUAUAUGACAGAAAUUCUCACUUAUGUCAUAGUGAUUUCUUCCUAUACGUAUCUAUUUUGGCCUCCUUUUCCUUGAUUUCACUUCCUCUUUCUUUCUCAAAUGCUAAGGAAUUCCUAAGGACAGUUCAAGGAACAAGAACAUUUCGUUAUCAUCCAAAUAACACUAUAGAUGGAUCCUUCAGUGGUGAAUGGGAAUAAAAUCCAGCACACGGCAACAUCAAAUGAUUAUACCUUCACUGGCAGAUACAAUUUGUUUGUCCUGCCAAUUACUUUAGAACCAAUGAACCAGACAUCAGAACCUAUACAAUAAGAGGAGGAGGUGAGGGAAGUGUUUAGUCAAAUAGGGGAGGGGAUGAGUGAGUGGUUGGAAAGGGCAAUAGAAGAGGAGGAGGUGAGGGAAGCAGUGGUGAGUUAGUGCAAGAUAUAAUGCUCUGGGACCUUAUGGAUUCACGUUAGCUUUUUCCCAACAAUGUUGGAGGAUAGUUAAGGGUGAAUGAUGGAGACCAUUGCGGAUUUCCAAGAUUCUGGAGAGUUCAAGAGAAGCCUUAACGCUUCAUUCAUCACCAUUGUGCCAAAGAAGAAACUUGGAAGAAAUAUCAAGGAUUAUAGACCUAUUAGUCUGGUAGGAAGCAUCUAUAAGAUCAUUUCUAAGGUGCUUUCAAACAGACUAAAAAAGGUAUUGGAUGAGACAGUGUCCACUUCUCAUUCGUGGAAGGUAGACAGAUCCUAGAUGCAUCACUGGUGGCAAAUGAAGUGGUUGAUUCUAGAAAGAAGAAAGGACAGCCGGGAAUUCUUUGUAAGUUGGACCUUGAGAAAGCUUAUGAUUGUAUGAACUGGGACUCCUCGGAUUUUAUUAUGUCGAAGAUGGGGUUUGGGGACAAAUGAAGGAGAUGGAUUAAGUUUUCCAUUUCUACUGCUACAUAAUCUGUUUUGGUGAAUGGGAGUCCAUGUGGUUCCUUUGGGAGUUCGAGGGGCUUGAGACAAGGGGAUCCUUUAUCCCCUAUGUUAUUCAUUUUGGUGAUGGAAGCAUUAAGCAAGAUGAUGCAUAGGGCGGUCAUUGCAGGUCUAUUGAAGGGCUUUGAUGCUUCGCUUAGGGGGCAUAGUAAUGUGACAGUUACACAUCUUAUUUUUGCAGAUGAUACUUUUGUUUUUUCCGAUGCAGAGGUGUCCCAGCUAGCUCACUUGGGGACAGAUCCUUGUAUGGUUCCAGGUUGUGUCAGGUCUUAAGAUCAAUCUCAAAAAAUGCGAGAUCACAUCGGUAGGAGAAGUGGAUAAUAUUGAAGAGAUUGCGCAUGUGUUGAAUUAUAAGGUGGGUACUUUACCUACCACCUACUAGGGGGUACCGUUGGGUGCUUUGAGUAAAGAUCUUGCAGUGUGGAAUCCGGUUAUUGAGAGGGUAGAGAAGUGACUAGCAGGAUGGCGAAAGAGGUACUUGCCGAGAAGAGGGAAGGAAGUUUUGAUCAAAAGCACCCUUUCUAGCACACCUACGUAUUUCAUGUCACUUUUGCAGGCUCCUGGUAAAAUGACUGAAAGGUUGGAAAGGAUUCAGCACAACUUUUUAUGGGACAAAUCGGAAGAAGCAAGAAAGUACCAUUUAGUGAAUUGGAAAGUUGUCACUUCUCCAAAGGAAUGGGGAGGACUCGAAGUGAAAGAUCUCAAGGUUUUCAAUAAAGCUUUUCUAGGGAAAUAGAAUUGGAGAUUUGGGAUGGAGGAGAAUGCAUUUUGGACGGGGGUGAUAGCGGAAAAAUAUGAUAUAAUGGAAGGGGGUUAGGAGGACCAAAUAUAACACCACUAUUUGGUGUGGUUUAUGGCGAAGUAUUAUGAAAGGGUUUGAAGACUUCAUGGGACACGUUUCUUUUAGGGUUGGGGAUGGAAGCAGGAUUAGUUUUUGGGCGCUUUAGUAGUGCGGUAAGAAUGAAUUGAGGGAAGCUUUUCCUAAUUUAUAUAGAAUAUCUUGCCAAAAAGAGAUGACAGUUCAACAAAUUUAUAGGUCUCAUGAAGGGGUAGUUCAUUGGGAUUUGAGAUUUAGGAGAUGGAAGAAUUCCACAAUUUGGUGGAGAUAUUGUUUGAGUUGGAUAUACCGAACAUUAUGUUGAAUGGAGAUGGUGAGAGAGUAGAGAUGAAUUAUUCACUGUUAAGUCUUUUUAUAAGAGGUUAUUAGGGAGAGAAGAACAUAUUUUCCCUCAUUGCUCUAUUUGGAGCACCAAGAAAGGUGUGUUUCUUUGCAUGGUUGGCGGCAAGGGGAGUGAUUUUGACAGCGAAAAAUUUGCGAAAAAGGAGGAUCACCUAUGUUAGCUGGUGCUUCAUGUGCAAAAGCUUGGGCGAAGAUGUAGAUCAUCUUCUAUUGCAUUAUCAAGUGGCAAGUCAUUUAAGGAGAGUGGUUCUUAUUUUGUUUGGGAAAAAAUAGGUGAUGCCAGGCAUAGUGAGGAGGCUUUGCAUAGUUAGUGUUACGCGACGCCUUCCUGAUGAUCUUUGGAAGGGCAACGUAAGGCUAAGCAACCGAUGUCAGUGCGGUUGCUGUCCGCCAAUGAGGUCCUCGCCGCACGCUAGACUAGAUUGUCAGUGCCGUGCGGGAAAACCAAUGUCGUGAGCAAUUGCGGAAGCUGAGAGAGAAUUGGGUUUUGAAUGCUGAUGAUGAUUUUAUUGAUGACUGAAAAUGAUGAUUACAAUGAUGUGGUGUCGAGGGGGAGAGACACCAGAAAAUGCUGAUUGAAAUGUUUGAUUGUUUGGUCCCCCUUAAUAAUGCUUAAAAAAAAUAAACCAACAUUACAAGACUAGUCCUAAUAAAGCUGUAGAAGCACACUGAAAUGAAAAUGAUGUAAACUAGCCUACGAUUACAAUGAAAAGGACUUAGAUUAUUACAAGGAAAAACUAAGUCCGAUGGCAGCAUCUUUGUCUUGCGGGUCAGGGUCUGCGCGCGCGUUGCUGUGGGCGCGCGCGACACUUGAUGUGCUGGCCUGAGGCUGGGCACUGGUGCUUGGCAUCAGGGUCUGUGCGCGAGGCGCUGUUGGAAUGGGCCUGCACGCUGGCGAGGCAUCAGGAUCUGCGCGCGCGGCAUUGUCAGGGUGCGCGGCGCUGUUGUCAUUGGCCAGCCCUUGG
rnacentral:lncRNA from 1 species